GCUGGGCAUGGUGAUGCAUACCUGUAAUCCCAGCAACUUGGGAGGUUGAGGCAGGAGGAUUGCAGGUUCAAGGCUGUUCUCAGCAAUUUAGGCCCUAAGCAACUUAGUGAGAUCCUAUCUCAA
rnacentral:sRNA from 1 species